rnacentral:tRNA from 1 species
GCCUGGGUGGCUCAGUCGGUUAAGCGUCCGACUUCAGCUCAGGUCACGAUCUCGCGGUCCGUGAGUUCGAGCCUCGCAUCAGGCC